CUGAUUCUUACCAAACCUUUUAGAACAUACAUAACAUCGAAAAGGUUAGUCUUUACUAUGUGUUCUCAUGUGUACCUUAAGAGUCUGAUUCUGACAAAACCUUUUAGAACAUACAUCACAUUGAAAAUGUUUAUCACCAGUAUGUAUUCUCAUGUGUACCUUAAGAGCCUGAUGCACACGAAAUCUUUUAGAACAUACAUCACAUCCAAAAGGUUUAUCACCAGUAUGUAUUCUCAUGUGUACCUUAAGAGCCUGAUGCACACGAAAUCUUUUAGAACAUACAUCACAUCCAAAAGGUUUAUCACCAGUAUGUAUUCUCAUGUGAAUAUUAAGAUCGUAAUUCAGUCGAAACCCUUUAGAACAUACAUCACAUCGAAAAGGUUUAUCACCAGUAUGUAUUCUCAUGUGUACCUUAAGAGCUUGAUGCUGACAAAACCUUUUAGAACAUACAUCACAUUGAAAAGGUUUAUCACCAGUAUGUAUUCUCAUGUGUAUCCUAAGAGCCUGAUGCAUACGAAAUCUUUUAGAACAUAAAUCACAUCCAAAAGGUUUAUCACCAGUAUGUAUUCUCAUGUGUACCUUAAGAGCCUGAUGCACACGAAAUCUUUUAGAACAUACAUCACAUUGAAAAGGUUUUUCACCAGUAUGUCUUUUCAUGUGUAGCUUAAGAGACUGAUUCAGACGAAAUAUUUUAGAACAUACAUCACAUUUAAAAAGUUUGUCAACAGCGUGUAUGCUCGUGUGUCUUUCUAAGUCAGUACUCUCAAAAAUUCUUUUAUCACAUGUACCAUAUA